GUUGGAAGUCGUUCUCACAGAUGGAAUCAUCACAGUGCUGGGAGUAGUAAUUGAAUAUUGAAUCCCCUGGACUUGCUCGCAUCCCUCCUCCAUUUUCCACCUAAUCCUCCUGGUUUCCAAUAUUUCAGUGUAAUAUACAUUUGGUGCUUUAUGUGAAUUCCUAACAGAAGAAGGUUUUCAUAUCAGAAGUAAAUCAAGAGAAAAUGAGAACAUCCCUUGCAGCUUACGGUGGAUACUGGUUCUUCCUAGAACCCUCUUUGCUGAAGGAUGAAUAAAUAGAAACAAAAUCCCAAUCCAAAAAAAUGAUCUGAAACAGCUGGAAAACAGAGCAUAAUUUUAAAUAUUGAAGAAAAUUCUAUAAGAAAAAUAAUUGUUAAAAUAAAUAUUUUAUAAUGUAUCUAAUUUGUAUUCUUAAAAAAAUUUUUAAUAUGAAAUUUAUUGUCAAAUUUGUUUCCAUACAA